rnacentral:rRNA from 1 species
AUGCUUAACACAUGCAAGUCGAACGGGACUUUCAGGGUAGCAAUAUUCUGGAGGUUCAGCGGCGCAAGGGUGCGUAACACGUGGGUAAUCUGCCGUGAAGCCUGGAAUAACUCGCUGAAAGGCGAGCUAAUGCCGGAUGUGAAGUUUGGGAGGCAUCUUCUGAACUUCAAAGUUGGGGACCGCAAGGCCUGACACUUCACGAUGAGCCCGCGGCCUAUCAGCUAGUUGGUGAGGUAACGGCUCACCAAGGCUAAGACGGGUAGCUGGUCUGAGAGGACGACCAGCCACACUGGAACUGAGACACGGUCCAGACACCUACGGGUGGCAGCAGUCGAGAAUUUUUCACAAUGGGCGAGAGCCUGAUGGAGCGACGCCGCGUGGGGGAUGAAUGGCUUCGGCCCGUAAACCCCUGUCAUCUGGGAACAAUGCUUCCGACCUAACACGUCGGGAGUUGAUAGUACCGGAAGAGGAAGGGACGGCUAACUCUGUGCCAGCAGCCGCGGUAAUACAGAGGUCCCAAGCGUUGUUCGGAUUCACUGGGCGUAAAGGGUGCGUAGGCGGUCGGGUAAGUCCGAUGUGAAAUCUCCAAGCUCAACUUGGAAAUGGCAUCGGAUACUAUCCGGCUUGAGGAGUGGAGGGGAGACUGGAAUUCUCGGUGUAGCAGUGAAAUGCGUAGAUAUCGGAAGGAACACCAGUGG